GCCCGAUGAUGAUAAAUUUAAGGCUUGUUUUUGAAAACAUUCACAGUUGCUUCCUAAGAGCUUUUGCCUAGCCAUGCUUGAGAGCUAAUGCUGUUAGGUCCUUCCAUUGGAUGUCUGACAGC
rfam:Triticum aestivum genome assembly, contig: Triticum_aestivum_CS42_TGACv1_scaffold_291388_4AL